rnacentral:rRNA from 1 species
GAUGAACGCUGGCGGCGUGCCUAAUACAUGCAAGUCGAGCGAACGGACGAGAAGCUUGCUUCUCUGACGUUAGCCGCGGACGGGUGUGUAACACGUGUAUAACCUACCUAUAAGACUGGGAUAACUUCGGGAAACCGGAGCUAAUACCGGAUAAUAUCUUGAACCGCAUGGUUCAAAAGUAAAAGACGGUCUUGCUGUCACUUAUCGAUGGAUCUGGGCUGCAUUAGCUAGUUGGUAAGGUAACGGCUUAUCAAGGCUACGAGGCAUAGCCGAACUGAGAGAGUGAUCGGCCACACGGGAACUGAGACACGGUCCAGACUCCUACGGUAGGCAGCAGUAGGGAAUCUGCCGCAAUGGGCGAAAGCCUGACGGAGCAACGCCGCGUGAGUGAUGAAGGUCUUCGGAUCGUAAAACUCUGUUAUUAGGGAAGAACAUAUGUGUAAGUAACUGUGCACAUCUUGACGGUACCUAAUCAGAAAGCCACGGCUAACUACGUG